ensembl:lncRNA
CCCCCCCAAAAAAAAGAAAAAGAGACAAAUGCAAACAAAGGGAACACAGUUCUGAACAACGACAAAGAGGUGCUUUAAAUGCAUUCUCUUUUCUCUGGUGGAAACGGUGGCUUUGUUUGCACACAGUACAAGGUGUCUGAAACCAAAUCUGCAGCUAUUUCAUAUUUAAAUGCAGCUGUCACGCUCUAGUUUUUCACAGCCGGUUUGGAAAGUUGCUAAUGCUGCUUCUUGCAGAGGGCGAAAAAAAAAAAAUUCUGUUUGUGUUGCAAUAAAACCCAUUCGGUGAUUCACUGCAAGGCAACUAAAUAAUUGAAAUAAAUAGGAGAGAUAUUAUUGUGAAAUAGUUUAGCUAGCUGAGGAUUUGCAGACCUCAGAGUUCUCUUUUCACCGACUGUUUUAUAUUUAAUCAUGACUCAUUCAAAGCUCUUUUCAAAACAUCUGACCCUUCCGUGACCUCGGCCUGUGACCACCACAAUGUCCUCGCAGCAGCAGUUCCGCGGGAUAAAUAAAGCUGACCCAAGAUAAUGUCAGGGAACAAACUGACGAUGGCUGCUGUGAGGAGAUGUACUUCUUUUGGUCGGAUGGGACCCAAAAUCUUAGAUGUUGCUAUCAGCUACGGCUAGCUAGCUAGUAAAGCUAAUGUUGGCGCUGCGAGUUGUUUAAAAACUAUGAUAUUCUUUCCAGCUGAAUUUCUUUCUAACCAAGAAUUUUGUAAAAGCCUUCUGAAUGAUAUCAUUACUAAAGAUUGAUGAUAAAUCUACUAAUAAAUAACAGCGUAACUGCCGUGUUGCAGUGAAGCUCUAUUGAUGCACAUUAUUGCCUUUUCAUUUAUUGUUCAUUGCUUUUCUGACUGAUUGCUUUGGCACUUUGGCCUUAAAGGUGGGACCCUCCUGCUACGAUGCUAACGAGCGCGUGUUACGUCGGGGAAAAACAGCGCAUUGUUCAAUCCAUUCCGUACACUUUGCUGUUAUAUUUUCAUUAUUGUAAGAAGGUGAAGCAUUGUUAAUUUUACAGUAUUUUAAUGUAUGCAAGUGUGCGCAUGCAGUUUGGCAACCUGACAAUGGUGGAGUGCUUAUAAAGAUAUGCAAAUUAACCAGCAAAGAUGAUGAACGCAACCUAAACAAAUGAACUUUCCAGAUCUGUGUGCUAUUAGUGCGUUGGUAGAAUACAUUAACCACGUACAUGCAGGUCACUCGGUGCUUCCAGUCAUCUUUGUUCAACUCAAAUAUCUUGCCUAUUGUGUUCUUAAUAUUGUUCCCUCUGAUGUAAAUAAUACUUGAACGGUGCUCUCGAGUGUUUCAGUGCCGCAGUUUUGAUGGAUUGUUUUGUCAUGCUUUGCUGUAAAUAAAUGUGACUCGUUCUCGUGAAUUUGCUCUCGUCAUUAAGUUAAUUAUAUUGAUUUGACUGUAUGCAUUGCGCAUUAAUUACGCGCAACCCGUCGAACGCAUUCUUGUGUGUUUUCGGGUGUUGAGCUUCAUGUAACAUUGUUUUUCACUUUAAAUGUUACAGCGUUAUGUGAAUAUGAGGCGUUUACACGCAAUAAAUAGUAACCUGUGGCGUCAUAAUGAGGUUAUCAGGUUAUUCCGCUGCAGUAAGUCGGCACAGAAGGAACCAGGCAGAAAACGCCCGCAUUCACGUAAGUUACCACUAGCAACCAAGGAUGCACUUGGCCGAGAGUCUUCAGCCAACGUGGUCCCUCGCUGAGCUGAAACACCUGUUGCUUCUGGACGGUCGGCAUCCAGUCGAACUUCUGUGGAAUCUGAAUUUGAAUCUGCUGUCGCGAUAUCGAUGCUAAUCGAUGCAAGUUUUUUAUUUUAGCGAUUCUGAUCGAUGCAACAACCGAACAUCUUGAUGAUGCUCCCACUUUUCUUUUUAAAUAUAUUUCAGUAAUACAUAGCAACAAAGCAACACAUCAGGCUAAUUCUCUGUCUUUCUCCGUGCCUUCGGAUUCACACCAAGUUAAUAAAGUGCUUCAGUGUUAACCGCAAUUAGUGAACUUGACGCUUUAAUACCGUGUGAGGUGAUUGUGUCUUCCUCCUCGUUCUUUCACACUAAAUGGUAAAAUGCUCGUGUUGUGACAUUACGUCCCUGAGAAUAGAGACAAGUGGGGGGUGGGGUGAGGAAUCAAAACGUUGGCGGUGGCAGGAGAUGAAGUUGAUUUGCGGCUGCAAGGACAGGGGGGGGGUUGGGGGGGGGGCAGCAGAUACUUGCACACAUUUGUAUGAAAACACAAAGCCUGUGUUCCACUUAUCGCAGGUCAUUUGUCUCAGAUUCCGGAGAAAAACGGAUAUUUUCACGUUCGCGAUGUGAUGGUGAGGAAACCUGCCUCUCACAGGUGUUACAUUUCCACAAUGUUUGUCAGAAAAGGAGGAUGGAAACUGCUGUUUUGUGCUAAUCUAAAUCUAAUCAAAAGACAAAAAAAAAAAACACGCAAACAACUGUCACUCACAUUAAUUGGUAAUUUGAUACAUUGCUUAAAAACAACAAAAUCAGAAGGUUUGUUCUGGGAGAACGCAUGUGUUGUCCACAUUGAAUUAAUUGGCACGUGUUACAGUUUGCAGGCUGUUGGCUUAAAAAAAAACAUAUUCUAAAAGUUUCAUAAAGCUCCCAAAAUAUUACUACUUUUUAACACAAAAAAGACUUCAAGUUAGAAUUUGAGCACAUUUGAUAUGUUCUGCAUUCAUUUUCCUUCCCAGGUGUAUCGUAAAAACGGAACCGUCUGUAUGUAAUUAUACGGUGAAUGUGGACAAAAGAGAGACGUCUCAUGGCAUAUGGGGGGGGUCAGAGGGAGAAGGAAAGUCUUGUCACAUUCUAUCUAUUUAUCUACUUGCAUACAUAUGGAUUCGUGACAACAACUGGCAUGAGAAACCGUGAAUAACUUAAAGACGGAUGUUCUUAUAUAAGCGUCAAUUGUUAAUUGAAGAAGCUGUCACACUCCCCGAGGCUGUCGGCGUAUAGUUUCACAAGCAUUCAAACUCAAGCUUCAUCAAAUCCGUGGUACAUUCAGUGCUGCCCGAGUCUUCUACGGAAAGAACUCAGUUCCUGAGACGCAUCAUUCAGCCAUUUUCUUUUUCAAACUGACGCCGCCUCUCAAAGAUGCCAGCGCUACACCGUCUUGGCACAGGUGAUUUCCCCAGACAACCCCCCCCCUCCUCUCUCUCGACGCCCUACGACGACGACCUCUGUUGCAUUUCUUCAUGUCGCGCCUCCGUAAACAGCGGCGGCGAAGUCAGCGCGAAGUGUCGAUGUGGGAGCGCCGAGCGGGCCGCCAGUGGGUUCGGCGUUCUUGUUGAACAACUCAGGCUUUCUAUGGUGAGAGUCUUUGUUAACGGGACAUCCGUUCAAACUCCUCUGUGACCCCCCCCUCGAUGCCUGUAGAGUCACCAGGACUUGUCUUCAACUGGAGAAUGCUGCCUACAAAAACACUUUAAGCUCCUUAAAAUAUCGAUCGGCCUUGUUGUUUGUCUGUAUUCCUGGAGUAGCAACAAAUUACAAUUUGUUUAACCCUUAAUGAACGCUAACAAGUGCCUGACAAUAACUGAAAGAACAUUUCCCGUUGGCUUUGUGUAAAGAUCAAUCAAAGUAAAGGACAUUUUCAGACAAAGGGUACGACCUCUCGUUCAAAAAGCAGUUGUGUCUUAUGCACGCAGAUUUUAAUAUCUCUAAUAUCAGUUGAGCACAUUUGCAAUUUGAGAGAUAAUGUAUUCAGAUUACUAAUCCAAACUAUUAGCGACACAAGAGUCCACUUUUCCUCAGGUUAAGCAGUCGACACCAACUUAAGAGACUGCACACGUAUAAAGAGUAGUUUAGAAAAUAUUAAAUUUGUGCAACCUUUUACAUCGGACGUCAUCAUGAAUUUGCACGUUGGACCAAAUGUCGAGAGGUUUCUGACGUGAUCAGAACGAGUGCACACAGCAAACCUUCAUUUCAUGCUGAGCGGUAUUGUAAUAUGUUGCCAUAAUUAUAUUAACAACUAGCUAUGAGUCAUGUGAGUUAUGAAUUAGUGUGCACGUCCAUAAAAAAAUCCUUAAUAUCAAUCCUAUAUUCAAAUUUAUCAUUUAUUUACCUUCAGCUUCUUUUGGUGUUCUUUUACAUUUUUUCUUUCUGUGUCUUUCUUACACGUACACACAAAGUUCAUCCAGCACCAGGCAGCACCACACACACUCGUUUACCAAAACCAGUUUGCUUUUUUAAUCGUGACCCUAAACGCGAGGCCGGCGCGCUGUACUCCUACUAUUUCCUCCGCCGGGAGUUCUAACUGUAGAGGAUUUCGCCUCGUCAUCUGUGAGCAUAAGUAAACGCGCCGCGCGAUCAACAUCCGUUUCUAUUAGAAGCUCCGUUUGAAAAGGGGAGGAAACGAGCGUGGCGCAAAAAAACGGCGGCCAAAUCAGAGGAUAGCGGCGGACGCCCGGCGACGGCUGCGCGUUUGAACUGGGUAAUUGGUUGGUUGCUCGGUAGGCAACACAACAGAGGGCCUACGGAGGGCGGUGUGUGUUUCCCAGCCCCACUGUGCAGCCUCAUGGACUACAAAGGCAGGGAACGGACUUCACAGCGCCGUAAUGCCUGAAGAGAAGAAUGUGGACAUUAAAUUAUCAGGGGAAAACAGCAGGGUGUGAAAAAAAAAAAGCCUUCUAAAGCCUGCGAGAACGCAAACGUACAUAUAGGCUGCUUCUGACACGGAAACCUGGCCAAAUUCACAGGCUCCUUUAUUCUGAGCUUCACACUGAUACUCUCAGUGUUUGUGUGUCUGUGUGUGCGUGUGUGUGUUUGGGGGGGUUGAUAUCCCGUAUGUGUGCACUUGUUUUACUUUUUUUUAAAUUGGAAUUUAAGGCAAUAAGCUUCCAUAAUGUACAUCCACACAUCCUGUUCGUGCAUCGAAAACAGUCAUAUGUUUAAAAGUGCUUUAAAAAAGCUCGACCCAAAGUAACUCUGUUGUGAAAAAAAACAACACUAUAGCAAUGACUACAUCUGAGGGAGGAAGCUUGUGGACAUUAAGCGUUUUAAAUCAUAACAUUUGUCCCCAAACCAUGAAAACCCCACAAAGUCCUCAAUUCGUCAUCAGUGGAGCAGCUACAUGUUGGUUCCUUGAUAGUAUUCGGUGUCUUCUUCUUCUUCAGGAAAAGCCAAAAGCAGCACAAAUCAGAUAACGAGAAUGAAACAAAUGGUUUAUAUCUUGUUAUACUAAAAAAUUUCCUUCUGUCAUAACAACAUAUUAAUUAAGCAUUCGAUUUUUUUUUUUGAAGAAGCUCGGAAACAAUUGAAU